rnacentral:rRNA from 1 species
UCUCGAAGCUGCGGAUUGAUACCGAAUGGUAUCAGUGGUAGGGGAGCGUUCUAAGGACAGUGAAGUCAGACCGGAAGGACUGGUGGAGUGCUUAGAAGUGAGAAUGCCGGUAUGAGUAGCGAAAGACGGGUGAGAAUCCCGUCCACCGAAUGCCUAAGGUUUCCUGAGGAAGGCUCGUCCGCUCAGGGUUAGUCAGGACCUAAGCCGAGGCCGACAGGCGUAGGCGAUGGACAACAGGUUGAUAUUCCUGUACCACCUCUUUAUCGUUUGAGCAAUGGAGGGACGCAGAAGGAUAGAAGAAGCGUGCGAUUGGUUGUGCACGUCCAAGCAGUUAGGCUGAUAAGUAGGCAAAUCCGCUUAUCAUAAAGGCUGAGCUGUGAUGGGGAAGCUCCUUAUGGAGCGAAGUCUUUGAUUCCCCGCUGCCAAGAAAAGCUUCUAGCGAGAUAAAAGGUGCCUGUACCGCAAACCGACACAGGUAGGCGAGGAGAGAAUCCUAAGGUGUGCGAGAGAACUCUGGUUAAGGAACUCGGCAAAAUGACCCCGUAACUUCGGGAGAAGGGGUGCUUUCUUAACGGAAAGCCGCAGUGAAUAGGCCCAAGCGACUGUUUAGCAAAAACACAGCUCUCUGCGAAGCCGUAAGGCGAAGUAUAGGGGGUGACACCUGCCCGGUGCUGGAAGGUUAAGGAGAGGGGUUAGCGUAAGCGAAGCUCUGAACUGAAGCCCCAGUAAACGGCGGCCGUAACUAUAACGGUCCUAAGGUAGCGAAAUUCCUUGUCGGGUAAGUUCCGACCCGCACGAAAGGUGUAACGAUUUGGGCACUGUCUCAACCAGAGACUCGGUGAAAUUAUAGUACCUGUGAAGAUGCAGGUUACCCGCGACAGGACGGAAAGACCCCGUGGAGCUUUACUGUAGCCUGAUAUUGAAUUUUGGUACAGUUUGUACAGGAUAGGCGGGAGCCAUUGAAACCGGAGCGCUAGCUUCGGUGGAGGCGCUGGUGGGAUACCGCCCUGACUGUAUUGAAAUUCUAACCUACGGGUCUUAUCGACCCGGGAGACAGUGUCAGGUGGGCAGUUUGACUGGGGCGGUCGCCUCCUAAAGUGUAACGGAGGCGCCCAAAGGUUCCCUCAGAAUGGUUGGAAAUCAUUCGUAGAGUGCAAAGGCAUAAGGGAGCUUGACUGCGAGACCUACAAGUCGAGCAGGGACGAAAGUCGGGCUUAGUGAUCCGGUGGUUCCGCAUGGAAGGGCCAUCGCUCAACGGAUAAAAGCUACCCCGGGGAUAACAGGCUUAUCUCCCCCAAGAGUCCACAUCGACGGGGAGGUUUGGCACCUCGAUGUCGGCUCAUCGCAUCCUGGGGCUGUAGUCGGUCCCAAGGGUUGGGCUGUUCGCCCAUUAAAGCGGUACGCGAGCUGGGUUCAGAACGUCGUGAGACAGUUCGGUCCCUAUCCGUCGUGGGCGUAGGAAAUUUGAGAGGAGCUGUCCUUAGUACGAGAGGACCGGGAUGGACGCACCGCUGGUGUACCAGUUGUUCUGCCAAGGGCAUAGCUGGGUAGCUAUGUGCGGAAGGGAUAAGUGCUGAAAGCAUCUAAGCAUGAAGCCCCCCUCAAGAUGAGAUUUCCCAUAGCGUAAGCUAGUAAGAUCCCUGAAAGAUGAUCAGGUUGAUAGGUUCGAGGUGGAAGCAUGGUGACAUGUGGAGCUGACGAAUACUAAUAGAUCGAGGACUUAACC